AUUGAACGCUGGCGGCAUGCUUUACACAUGCAAGUCGAACGAGGGUAGCAAUACCUUAGUGGCGAACGGGUGAGUAAUAUAUCGGAACGUACCCUAGAGUGGGGGACAACCAGUCGAAAGACUGGAUAAUACCGCAUACGAUCUACGGAUGAAAGUGGGGGACCGCAAGGCCUCACGCUCCUGGAGCGGCCGAUAUCUGAUUAGCUAGUUGGUAGGGUAAAAGCCUACCAAGGCAUCGAUCAGUAGCUGGUGUGAGAGGACGAUCAGCCACACUGGGACUGAGACACGGCCCAGACUCCUACGGGAGGCAGCAGUGGGGAAUUUUGGACAAUGGGGGAAACCCUGAUCCAGCAAUGCCGCGUGGGUGAAGAAGGCCUUCGGGUUGUAAAGCUCUUUUGUCAGGGAAGAAAAGGCUAUGGCUAAUAUCCAUGGCUGAUGACGGUACCUGAAGAAUAAGCACCGGCUAACUACGUGCCAGCAGCCGCCGUAA
rnacentral:rRNA from 1 species